GAUGAACGCUGGCGGCGUGCUUAACACAUGCAAGUCGAACGAGAAAUGGAGACGGACACCUUCGGGCGGAAGGCUUCAUUUCGAGUGGCGGACGGGUGAGUACCGCGUGGGUAAACUGCCUCAUCCAGGGGGAUAACAGUUGGAAACGACUGAUAAUACCGCAUCAGACCACAGCACCGCAUGGUGCGGGGGUAAAAACUCCGUUGGUAUGAGAUGGACCCGCGUUCGAUUAGCCAGUUGGCGGGGUAAUGGACCACCAAAGCGUCGAUCGGCAGCCGGUGAGAGAGGAUGGCCCGCCACAGUGGGACGGGGACACGGUCCAAACUCCUACGGGAUGCAGCAGUGGGGAAUAGUGCAAAAUGGGGGAAGCCCUGAUGCAGCGACGCCGCGUGAGUGAAGAAGUACUUCGGUAUGUAAAGCUCUAUCAGCAGGGAAGAAAAUGACGGUACCUGAGGAAGAAGCCCCGGCUAACUACGUG
rnacentral:rRNA from 1 species